UACGUAGGGUGCAAGCGUUAAUCGGAAUUACUGGGCGUAAAGCGUGCGCAGGCGGUUAUGUAAGACAGAUGUGAAAUGCCCGGGCUUAACCUGGGAACUGCAUUUGUGACUGCAUGGCUAGAGUUUGGCAGAGGGGGGUGGAAUUCCACGUGUAGCAGUGAAAUGCGUAGAUAUGUGGAGGAACACCGAUGGCGAAGGCAGCCCCCUGGGUCAAGCACUGACGCUCAUGCACGAAAGCGUGGGGAGCAAACAGGA
rnacentral:rRNA from 1 species